rnacentral:rRNA from 1 species
UGAAAAGCCCGCUCGCCGGAAGACCAAGGGUUCCUGUCCAACGUUAAUCGGGGCAGGGUGAGUCGACCCCUAAGGCGAGGCCGAAAGGCGUAGUCGAUGGGAAACAGGUUAAUAUUCCUGUACUUGGUGUUACUGCGAAGGGGGGACGGAGAAGGCUAUGUUGGCCGGGCGACGGUUGUCCCGGUUUAAGCGUGUAGGCUGGUUUUCCAGGCAAAUCCGGAAAAUCAAGGCCGAGGCGUGAUGACGAGGCACUACGGUGCUGAAGCAACAAAUGCCCUGCUUCCAGGAAAAGCCUCUAAGCAUCAGGUAACAUCAAAUCGUACCCCAAACCGACACAGGUGGUCAGGUAGAGAAUACCAAGGCGCUUGAGAGAACUCGGGUGAAGGAACUAGGCAAAAUGGUGCCGUAACUUCGGGAGAAGGCACGCUGAUACGUAGGUGAAGCGACUUGCUCGUGGAGCUGAAAUCAGUCGAAGAUACCAGCUGGCUGCAACUGUUUAUUAAAAACACAGCACUGUGCAAACACGAAAGUGGACGUAUACGGUGUGACGCCUGCCCGGUGCCGGAAGGUUAAUUGAUGGGGUUAGCGCAAGCGAAGCUCUUGAUCGAAGCCCCGGUAAACGGCGGCCGUAACUAUAACGGUCCUAAGGUAGCGAAAUUCCUUGUCGGGUAAGUUCCGACCUGCACGAAUGGCGUAAUGAUGGCCAGGCUGUCUCCACCCGAGACUCAGUGAAAUUGAACUCGCUGUGAAGAUGCAGUGUACCCGCGGCAAGACGGAAAGACCCCGUGAACCUUUACUAUAGCUUGACACUGAACAUUGAGCCUUGAUGUGUAGGAUAGGUGGGAGGCUUUGAAGUGUGGACGCCAGUCUGCAUGGAGCCGACCUUGAAAUACCACCCUUUAAUGUUUGAUGUUCUAACGUGGACCCGUGAUCCGGGUUGCGGACAGUGUCUGGUGGGUAGUUUGACUGGGGCGGUCUCCUCCUAAAGAGUAACGGAGGAGCACGAAGGUUGGCUAAUCCUGGUCGGACAUCAGGAGGUUAGUGCAAUGGCAUAAGCCAGCUUGACUGCGAGCGUGACGGCGCGAGCAGGUGCGAAAGCAGGUCAUAGUGAUCCGGUGGUUCUGAAUGGAAGGGCCAUCGCUCAACGGAUAAAAGGUACUCCGGGGAUAACAGGCUGAUACCGCCCAAGAGUUCAUAUCGACGGCGGUGUUUGGCACCUCGAUGUCGGCUCAUCACAUCCUGGGGCUGAAGUAGGUCCCAAGGGUAUGGCUGUUCGCCAUUUAAAGUGGUACGCGAGCUGGGUUUAGAACGUCGUGAGACAGUUCGGUCCCUAUCUGCCGUGGGCGCUGGAGAACUGAGGGGGGCUGCUCCUAGUACGAGAGGACCGGAGUGGACGCAUCACUGGUGUUCGGGUUGUCAUGCCAAUGGCACUGCCCGGUAGCUAAAUGCGGAAGAGAUAAGUGCUGAAAGCAUCUAAGCACGAAACUUGCCCCGAGAUGAGUUCUCCCUGACCCUUUAAGGGUCCUGAAGGAACGUUGAAGACGACGACGUUGAUAGGCCGGGUGUGUAAGCGCAGCGAUGCGUUGAGCUAACCGGUACUAAUGAACCGUGAGGCUUAACCUUACAACGCCGAAGGUGUUU